CCUACGGGCGGCAGCAGUGGGGAAUAUUGCACAAUGGGGGGAACCCUGAUGCAGCGACGCCGCGUGAGUGAAGAAGUAUUUCGGUAUGUAAAGCUCUAUCAGCAGGGAAGAAAAUGCCGGUACCUGACUAAGAAGCCCCGGCUAACUACGUGCCAGCAGCCGCGGUAAUACGUAGGGGGCAAGCGUUAUCCGGAUUUACUGGGUGUAAAGGGAGCGCAGACGGCUGUGCAAGUCUGGAGUGAAAGGCGGGGGCUCAACCCCCGGACUGCUCUGGAUACUGUAAAGCUGGAGUGCAGGAGAGGUGAGCGGAAUUCAUAGUGUAGCGGUGAAAUGCGUAGAUAUUAGGAGGAACACCAGUGGCGAAGGCGGCUUACUGGACUGCAACUGACGUUGAGGCGCGAAAGCGUGGGGAGCAAACAGGAUUAGAUACCCUUGUAGUC
rnacentral:rRNA from 1 species